CCAGAGAGACUGUAACCUAUUUUUCCAAAAGAAAAAAAAAAGACACAACACGAGAACAAAGAACAAAUAAUGGCAACUCAUUUCAAAGGCAUGUUCAUUCCUAAAACAGACAUUUGUUAAGUUUGGCAUAUUUAGCCAUCCCUCUUUUCAUGUAACCAUGGUACUGAAAUAGCAAAACUGGUUUCUUCUGUUGAAAUAUAAAAGGCAAGCUAUAACUGAGGAACCCAGCUAGUGGAACCACUUGGACUUUAAUCACUUUUUACUUCACUUGGGGGUCAAGGUUGGCAAAUCACCAAGCCUGCACUGACCCAGAGCCAGGAGGCUUGUGCCCUGGCCGGUCGUGCCCUAGUUGGUCGGCAAAUCAAAUAGAGAGGAGUUUCGGAAGCAGUUCCCAGGAGAAAACAAAGGAAGCAGAUACGCUGUGCUGCACUUCGGACUUUGGACGGAGAGCCUGAGCAGCAGAAAGCCUUCUCUUAGCAGAUGUCCGCAUUCAAGAAUCCCUGCCUCAUAACAUCACUGCUCACCAGCUAAUAGAAUUGGCUAUCAUACCUUCUACCCAGUGAAUAGACCAAGAGCCCUCAUCCAGUGGCUGAUGGAAGCAGAGGCAGACACCCACAGAUAUUCACUGAACUGAACUCUGGAACUUAGUUGCAGAGAGGAAGGAAUGAAGAUUAAAGGGAUCAAAGGGUACCAGGCUGGUGAAACACACAAAAACAGCUGACCUGAACAAGGGGGAGCACAUGGACCCCAGACUGCUAUCUGGGAGUCCAGUACAGGAGUGAUCCAGACCCCUGAACAUGGAUGUCAAUGAGGAGGCCUCCUCUCUCUAGGGGGCCCCUGGUAAGGAUCAGUAUUUUUCCCUGGUGUAAGAAGGGACUUUGAGAGCCCAUCCCACAUGAAGGGAUGCACUCUCGGCCUGGACACAUAGGGAGGGCCUGGGCCCAGCCCAGGAUGAUGUGGUGGACUUUGGGGAGCCCCCCAUCAAGG
rnacentral:lncRNA from 1 species